rnacentral:rRNA from 1 species
UUUAACUGAGCGUUCAGUUACUUGACGUAGACCCGAAACCGGGCGACCUACCCAGGAGCAGGAUGAAGCGAAAGUAAAAUUUCGUGGAGGUCCGAACCCACGAGCGUUGAAAAGCUCGGGGAUGACUGGUGGGUAGCGGUGAAAUUCCAAUCGAGCCCGGAGAUAGCUGGUUCUCCCCGAAAUAGCUUUAGGGCUAGCCUCAAGGUGAGAGAUACGGAGGUAGAGCACUGAAUGUCCUAGGGGGUAUUGCACCUACCGAAGACUAUCAAACUCCGAAUGCCGUCAUCUUAUACUUGGGAGUCAGACUGUGGGUGAUAAGAUUCAUAGUCGAAAGGGCAACAGCCCAGAUCGUCAGCUAAGGUCCCUAAAUGUAAGUUAAGUGGUAAAGGAUGUGGGAUUGCACAGACAACCAGGAUGUUGGCUUAGAAGCAGCCACUCAUUCAAAGAGUGCGUAAUAGCUCACUGGUCGAGUGAUCCUGCGCCGAAGAUUUCCGGGGCUAAA